AGUCGUGUGUACAUCAUUGGGAAUGGAGGGAAAUAAAUGACUGGAUGGUCGCUGCUUUUUAAGUUUCAAAUUGACAUUCCAGACAAGCGGUGCCUGAGCCCGUGCCUGUCUUCAGAUCUUCACAGCACAGUUCCUGGGAAGGUGGAGCCACCAGCCUCUCCCUGACAAGCAAAGUGGAUCAGCAAAGGCUGCAGUCACCAGCAUCUUUUCCAACCUUAAUGAACUGUAUCCUCAAAAGAACACUAUCAGACUGGCUCUGCCGACUUCCAGUUCUGGAACAAGAUGGUUAAACUCAUUUUUCCCUGCUCUGCUCCUCUAAAUACAACUAAGUACCUUGGAAACUAUUCAGCAGACAAUGAUAAAGGGCUCUGAAAGCUAGAAGAAAAGGUGUACUUGCAAGAAACCUCAGGACUUGAGUAACAGCAACAUGGCAGGCCAGAAAGCAGACCCAGGGAGGAUAGCACAUGUCUUCGGCUACACUGGUGAAGGCAUCGUGCCUGCUCCACAGCACAUUUUUAUUCAAGUCUUGGACGAGCCUGAGGAUGUCUACAAGUGGAAGAAAAGAAGCCACUGGAGCAGAAGGUGGGGAGGAUAAAAUUUGGAGCAAGAUUCUCAAGGAAGCAACAAGAUCCUAAGGAAAGGAGAAAGAGACUACCUACUGCAUUUCUGUCACUCGCUGAAAAGGACACUCUGUCAGAAAAUCUUCUAGCAAACUUCAAAGGGCAAAAUCACCCCUUGUUACUGAUAAAGCCCAGAGAGCUUCAGCAGCUAACAUUCCCUGGACAGGGCACAGCAAGGAUUUGAACCUAGGUCAGUCUGGCCAGAACACCCACAAGCUUUCCUUAACUCAGUGUGCUAUCUCCCCACGACUAGGUCACUACUGCUUUAUAAUCACCUUUGUAGCCACCAGUGGAUUUUGCUCAUCAGUAUUUUUCAGGCAAUUGAUACUUUAGAUAUUCAGCUGCAAGACGUAUGCAGUUUUCAUUGACAUCUUUUGGAGAAACUGACAAACCUGGACUUGACUUAAUGCCUUUGGAACCUUCCAAGAUGUUAUAUAACUCUAGAUAGAAGGCUGGGCCUCCAUGAUGUCAGGAAUGUUGCAUUCUUAUUUCCCCAUAGAUAAACCCAUUUGUCCACAAAGUCAAGGAGUCAGGCAGAGGCCCUUGCCAUGGGGCUUUUUAGGAUAAAGCAACAAGCCUGGACUUUGCUCUACAACAGGGUUUUGCAUAGGGAGUGGUAUGACCAGAUCCCUCAAGAAAGAAAGCUUAGAGACCAGGCCAGAGUCCACUGCAGUAGCCCAGUCAAGAGAGGAUGGUGACUUGGACUUGUAGUAGAGCCAGUUAGAAUGAAAGAAAUUGACACAUUCAGAAAUGGUUUUAGAGAUAGAGUCAAACUGGACCUGAUAAAGAACUAGAGAAGCGGAGUGAGGAUAAAGAGAAGAGCCAUGACUGACUCGGAAGAUUUUGUCUUGAAAAACUUGAGAACUCAAGACAGAGUGAAAUAAAAUCACAUGUGGGAAAAA
rnacentral:lncRNA from 1 species